rnacentral:rRNA from 1 species
UACAGAGGUCCCAAGCGUUGUUCGGAUUCACUGGGCGUAAAGGGUGCGUAGGCGGCUGGGUAAGUCUGUCGUGAAAUCUCCGAGCCUAACUCGGAAACUGCGUCGGAUACUAUUCAACUCGAGGAAUGGAGGGGAGACUGGAAUUCUCGGUGUAGCAGUGAAAUGCGUAGAUAUCGAGAGGAACACCAGUGGCGGAGGCGAGUCUCUGGACAUUUCCUGACGCUGAGGCACGAAAGCCAGGGGAGCAAACGGG